rnacentral:rRNA from 1 species
GAUGAACGCUGGCGGCGUGCCUAAUACAUGCAAGUCGAGCGAACGGACGAGAAGCUUGCUUCUCUGUUGUUAGCGGCGGACGGGUGUGUAACACGUGGAUACCCUCCCUAUCUGUCUGGUAUCACUUCGGGACACCGGCUCUAAUACCGUAUAAUCUUUUGAACCGCAUGGUUCAAAAGUGAAAGACGGUCUUGCUGUCACUUCUAGAUGGAUCCCCGCUUCAUUAGCUAGUUGGUAAGGUAAUGGCUUACCACGGCAACGAGGCCUAGCCGACCGGAGAGAGUGAUCGGCCACACGGGAAGUGAGACACGGACCAGGCUCCUACGGGAGGCAGCAGUAGGGAAUGUGACGCAAUGGGCGAAAGCAUGACGGAGCAACGCCGCGUGAGUGACGAAGGUCUUCGGAUCGUAAAACUCUGUUAUGAGGGAAGAACAGAUGUGUAAGUAACUGUGCACAGCUUGACGGUACCUAAUCAGAAAGCCACGGCUAACUACGUG